rnacentral:rRNA from 1 species
CAUGGCUCAGGAUGAACGCUGGCGGCGUGCUUAACACAUGCAAGUCGAACGGUGAAGCCCAGCUUGCUGGGUGGAUCAGUGGCGAACGGGUGAGUAACACGUGAGCAACCUGCCCCUGACUCUGGGAUAAGCGCUGGAAACGGCGUCUAAUACUGGAUACGAGUAGCGACCGCAUGGUCAGUUACUGGAAAGAUUUAUUGGUUGGGGAUGGGCUCGCGGCCUAUCAGCUUGUUGGUGAGGUAAUGGCUCACCAAGGCGUCGACGGGUAGCCGGCCUGAGAGGGUGACCGGCCACACUGGGACUGAGACACGGCCCAGACUCCUACGGGAGGCAGCAGUGGGGAAUAUUGCACAAUGGGCGCAAGCCUGAUGCAGCAACGCCGCGUGAGGGAUGACGGCCUUCGGGUUGUAAACCUCUUUUAGCAGGGAAGAAGCGAAAGUGACGGUACCUGCAGAAAAAGCGCCGGCUAACUACGUGCCAGCAGCCGCGGUAAUACGUAGGGCGCAAGCGUUAUCCGGAAUUAUUGGGCGUAAAGAGCUCGUAGGCGGUUUGUCGCGUCUGCUGUGAAAUCCGGAGGCUCAAC